UACAGAGGGUGCGAGCGUUAAUCGGAAUUACUGGGCGUAAAGCGUGCGUAGACGGUUAUGUAAGUCGGAUGUGAAAGCCCCGGGCUUAACCUGGGAAUUGCAUUCGAGACUGCAUAGCUAGGAUGCGGAAGAGGGAAGUGGAAUUUCCGGUGUAGCGGUGAAAUGCGUAGAUAUCUGGAGGAACACCGGUGGCGAAGGCGGCAUCCUGGACCGAUACUGACGCUGAGGAGCGAAAGCCAGGGGAGCAAACGGG
rnacentral:rRNA from 1 species